rnacentral:misc_RNA from 1 species
GGAAAUUGAAGAAGACAUGCAACAAUGAGCAAUCCCCAUCACCACAUUUCGAAUACCCAAGAUCCGGAUCCCCAAUUUCCCAACCCGAAUGAUGAUCCAAACCCGACUCACCAUCUUCAGCCCCAAUCCAAUCCCCAACCUCGCCGUCCCCGCGGCUUCGCCGCCACAAGCGCCGCCGCUGCUGCCACCGGAACUAUUAAUAAGAGCAGAAAAGAGAGAGAGAAGGAGAAGGAACGAACGAAACUACGAGAACGUCACCGGCGAGCAAUUACGAGCCGAAUGCUUGCUGGACUUCGUCAGUACGGGAAUUUCCCACUUCCUGUUCGUGCUGAUAUGAAUGAUGUACUUGCUGCACUUGCUCGGCAAGCUGGUUGGACUGUUGAGCCUGAUGGUACCACCUUUAGACAAACUCCUGCUCCUGUGAAUAAUGCUUCAAAUAUGGGGACUUAUCAGGUGAUGUCUGUUGAGAGCCCAGUUUCUGGCAGUUCCUUUAGAAAUUGCUCAACCAGAGCAUCUGUGGACUGUCAGCC